rnacentral:tRNA from 1 species
AAUGUAGAGCCUGAGUAAAGGAUUAUCGUGAUAGGAUAAAAUAUGUGAUCAAAGCACCUACAUUA